rnacentral:rRNA from 1 species
GAUGAACGCUGGCGGCGUGCCUAAUACAUGCAAGUCGAGCGAACGGACGAGAAGCUUGCUUCUCUGAUGUUAGCGGCGGACGGGUGAGUAACACGUGGAUAACCUACCUAUAAGACUGGGAUAACUUCGGGAAACCGGAGCUAAUACCGGAUAAUAUUUUGAACCGCAUGGUUCAAAAGUGAAAGACGGUCUUGCUGUCACUUAUAGAUGGAUCCGCGCUGCAUUAGCUAGUUGGUAAGGUAACGGCUUACCAAGGCAACGAUGCAUAGCCGACCUGAGAGGGUGAUCGGCCACACUGGAACUGAGACACGGUCCAGACUCCUACGGGAGGCAGCAGUAGGGAAUCUUCCGCAAUGGGCGAAAGCCUGACGGAGCAACGCCGCGUGAGUGAUGAAGGUCUUCGGAUCGUAAAACUCUGUUAUUAGGGAAGAACAUAUGUGUAAGUAACUGUGCACAUCUUGACGGUACCUAAUCAGAAAGCCACGGCUAACUACGUGCCAGCAGCCGCGGUAAUACGUAGGUGGCAAGCGUUAUCCGGAAUUAUUGGGCGUAAAGCGCGCGUAGGCGGUUUUUUAAGUCUGAUGUGAAAGCCCACGGCUCAACCGUGGAGGGUCAUUGGAAACUGGAAAACUUGAGUGCAGAAGAGGAAAGUGGAAUUCCAUGUGUAGCGGUGAAAUGCGCAGAGAUAUGGAGGAACACCAGUGGCGAAGGCGACUUUCUGGUCUGUAACUGACGCUGAUGUGCGAAAGCGUGGGGAUCAAACAGGAUUAGAUACCCUGGUAGUCCACGCCGUAAACGAUGAGUGCUAAGUGUUAGGGGGUUUCCGCCCCUUAGUGCUGCAGCUAACGCAUUAAGCACUCCGCCUGGGGAGUACGACCGCAAGGUUGAAACUCAAAGGAAUUGACGGGGACCCGCACAAGCGGUGGAGCAUGUGGUUUAAUUCGAAGCAACGCGAAGAACCUUACCAAAUCUUGACAUCCUUUGACAACUCUAGAGAUAGAGCCUUCCCCUUCGGGGGACAAAGUGACAGGUGGUGCAUGGUUGUCGUCAGCUCGUGUCGUGAGAUGUUGGGUUAAGUCCCGCAACGAGCGCAACCCUUAAGCUUAGUUGCCAUCAUUAAGUUGGGCACUCUAAGUUGGCUGCCGGUGACAAACCGGAGGAAGGUGGGGAUGACGUCAAAUCAUCAUGCCCCUUAUGAUUUGGGCUACACACGUGCUACAAUGGACAAUACAAAGGGCAGCGAAACCGCGAGGUCAAGCAAAUCCCAUAAAGUUGUUCUCAGUUCGGAUUGUAGUCUGCAACUCGACUACAUGAAGCUGGAAUCGCUAGUAAUCGUAGAUCAGCAUGCUACGGUGAAUACGUUCCCGGGUCU